CUGUGGAAGUUGAAACGUCAGUGAGUGUCAGCGGCAGCGUGAUUCACGUUUGAGAAACUAACUGCACGCAACCAGAAGUUUUACUAUCAGGCACCUAUUUAUAUCAAAAUGUACAUGCAGCAAACUGAAGACAUCGAGACGAGCAUUUAGUGUUGAAAUAUUUUAAAGUGGAUUAAGUACAUGUAACGUUAGAGACACCGCGACGCUUAACGCGCGAAACCAGAUGUGAGUGUUUCUGAAAUGAUCUAACGUUACUAGACUUUCAGAUCUGAUGGAGACGAAGGAAAAGAGCCGUAAACCUCCAAAUAAGACUCCACAGUCUGAAGGAGAUCAGGAGGAUCAACCCUGUCCUGAUACUUCCUGUGAAAAAAAUGAAGAUCAGGAGCCUUCCUCACCAAAACAGGGAGAGUUCAGUGAUCCGGUGUAUAAAGAGAUUGCAUUGGCAAAUGGUGCCAUCAACCGAAUGAACAGAGAAGAGUUGCGUGCGAAAUGCACAGAGCUGAAACUUGACACACGUGGAGUUAAUGAUGUCCUAAGGAAGCGCCUCAAAAGCUACUACAAAAAGCAGAAGUUGAUGCAUUCACCUGCUGCAGAAGGGAACAGUGACAUGUACUUUGACUACAUCUGUGUGGUGGAUUUUGAAGCAACAUGCGAAGAGAAUAACCCACCAGAUUACCUCCAUGAAAUCAUUGAGUUCCCCAUGGUGUUGAUCGACACACACACACUGGAGAUUGUGAGUUGGUAGACUCGUUUCAGGAGUAUGUGAAGCCAGUGCUGCACCCACAGCUCUCUGAGUUUUGUGUAAAACUUACCGGAAUAACGCAGGAAAUGGUGGAUGAGGCAAAAACAUUCCAUCAAGUUUUAAAGCGAGCAAUUUCUUGGCUUCAGGAAAAAGAACUGGGCACAAAAUACAAAUAUAUGUUUUUGACAGACGGGUCUUGGGACAUGGGGAAAUUUCUUCAUACACAGUGCAAACUGAGUCGCAUCAGAUACCCACAGUUUGCCAGAAAAUGGAUCAAUAUCAGAAAGUCUUAUGGGAAUUUUUAUAAGGUUCCUCGUACUCAGACGAAACUGAUCUGCAUGCUGGAGAAUCUGGGGAUGGAGUAUGAUGGACGUCCGCACUGUGGUCUAGAUGACUCACGCAACAUUGCCAGAAUCGCCAUCCACAUGCUGAAGGACGGCUGUCAGCUGAGGGUGAAUGAGUGCUUGCAUUCAGGAGAACCGCGGAGCGUGCCUAUCUCUGCCCCUAUUGAAGGAGCACCAGCACCUCAGCCCCCCAAAAAACGAGACUAGAAAGACUCUUUGCCAAAAAAAUAACAACAAAUAUGAAAACCUGCCAUGUUGUGGAAAAAUGAUCUAGAUUAAUAAAUAUUGAAAUAUUUGCUGAGAGAAUUGUACAUCAUAACAGAUGAUGAAGCUUCACCAUUACAGCAAAUUGGUUUCAUGUACUGUAUUUGGAACUUGCUCCUGAGAAACAUACACUGCAGGAAGUGUUUAUUUCCAGCCUGAUGGGUAAUUAGUAAUUGUUGUAUUUUUUAAAAUCCCUAUUGCACAUACAUUUUGCAGCUCUGCUCUACAUGUAUUAUUUUGCCAAUAAACUUUUUAGUGAUGGUGAG